rnacentral:rRNA from 1 species
GAUGAACGCUGGCGGCGUGCCUAAUACAUGCAAGUCGAGCGAACAGACGAGGACCUUGCUCCUCGGACGGUAGCGGGGGACGUGUGAGUAACACGUGGGUACCCUCCCUAUGAGAAUGGGAUAACUACGUGUAACCAGAGCUAAUACCAGCUAAUAUAUUAAACGGCGGGGUUCAAUAGUUAACGCCGGCUUUGCUGUCACUGAUAGAUGGAUCGGUGGCGGAUUAGCUAGUUGGUAAGGUAACAGCUUACCAAGGCGACGAUGCGUAGCCGGCCUGAGAGGACGACCAGCCACACUGGAACUGAGACACGGCCCAGACUCCUACGGGAGGCAGCAGUGGGGAAUUUUGGACAAUGGGCGCAAGCCUGACCCAGCCAUGCCGCGUGCAGGAUGAAGGCCUUCGGGUUGUAAACUGCUUUUGUACGGAACGAAAAAGCUCUCACGAAUACAGGGGGUGAAUGACGGUACCGUAAGAAUAAGCACCGGCUAACUACGUG